ACCUCGCGUGCAACCAGCCUUUGGAACUCCUUUUCAGCCCUCCUACACUCUAUCUUUGCUUGGUUUCUGGCUCCCGGGCAAGUCCCAUAUCACAGAGAGAGCGGGAUUUCUUAGUUUAUUUGAUUGGAGAGGAGAGAAUAUUGAAAAAUAAAAGUACUUGUGGGAAGCUUGUUGCACUAAAGAAACAAGCAUGGAUACGCAUUACAAGUUUCAAUGCUGAGGGAUAUGGACCUCGGCGAUCAGUAGAACAGCUGAAGUGGAUGUGUACCCAUCAAUCAAUUUCAUUGAUGAGUACCACAAUUACUUUGCUGAAAGCAUGCCUUCUACAAAUCCAGGGCAAGAUUUGUGCUUCACAAAUCCUGUACCAGAGCGAGCCUCCAGCAGAGGCGAUGACCCAAAUUUACAACCUAGCCCCUCAACCUCCUCCCAGAAUAAUAAAGAGAAAACAUCAUUAUUUGAUGAAAAACGGUAUAACCGACCAAACAGGAAAAAUAUAACCAUUGAAGAGGAAGAAAAUAAUAAAUUAUUUUGGAGCACACGGCAGCAAUUGUUAGAUAAACAAUUGGAAGAAACAAUGAUCAACAUUCAACUUGCAAAUAAUCAAAAGUUGCAUAAGAUUUGGAGAUUCAGCUUUUGUCAAAAUAAAGAUUCAAGUUGAACAAAAGAAGUUAGAAAUGAUGGAAAAAAAUUCUGCACAAUACAAUGAGUUAACCCUGGGAAAUUGAACAGCACCAUCACAACUGAAAAUGAUACUGCAGGCUGAGACAAAUAGCUGCCAUUCUAGAACUUAAUUCCAAUGAACACUAUAACACCACUACCACAGCACCACCACCACAUAUGGACAACUCCAUUAUCGGGUUCCUUCGACUUGAGGCAGCGAACACUCCUCGGGGUCAGAGAACAGGUCGAAGGGGGAGUCACGGACGAGUUCGGACUCUCCAAGUCCCCUUUGAU